AUUGAACGCUGGCGGCAGGCCUAACACAUGCAAGUCGAACGAGUGGCGGACGGGUGAGUAAUGUCUGGGAAACUGCCUGAUGGCGGGGGAUAACUACUGGAAACGGUAGCUAAUACCGCAUACCAUCAGAUGUGCCCAGAUGGGAUUAGCUAGUGGGGGGGUUAACGGCUCACCAAGUCGACGAUCCCUAGCUGGUCUGAGAGGAUGACCAGCCAAACGGGAACUGAGACACGGUCCAGACGCCUACGGGAGGCAGCAGUGGGGAAUAUUGCACAAUGGGCGCAAGCCUGAUGCAGCCAUGCCGCGUGUAUGAAGAAGGCCGUCGGGGUGUAAAGUACUUUCAGCGGGGAGGCGUUACCCGCAGAAGAAGCACCGGCUAACUCCGUGCCAGCAGCCGCGGUAAUAC
rnacentral:rRNA from 1 species